UCCGGUUUGUCACCGGCGGUCUCCUUAGAGUUCCCACCAUUACGUGCUGGCAACUAAGGACAAGGGUUGCGCUCGUUGCGGGACUUAACCCAACAUCUCACGACACGAGCUGACGACAGCCAUGCAGCACCUGUCUCACGGUUCCCGAAGGCACCAAUCCAUCUCUGGAAAGUUCCGUGGAUGUCAAGACCAGGUAAGGUGGGGAUGACGUCUCUAGGAGGGUG
rnacentral:misc_RNA from 1 species